GUGAACGUGUGGGGGGGCAUCCAGAAAAGAUGAUCGCAAGGGUCUGGCUUGCCCAAGGCGUUAGGCAGCUCAGCCUCUCUGCAUCUCCUUGCAGGUGCCUCUGAACCAUGGUUGGGAAGUCACAGAGACGCUGCCCUUUAAUCUCUCUGUAGAGGAGGUCUGCGCUGGUGGUAAUUUGAAUAGCUGUAGCCUGCAGUAAUACCUGUAGCCCCUGUCAGUGGCCAGACUAGCGAGGCUUGUAUCCCGUACACCUCCUGUGCUGAUUCGCUGAGGCCUGAUUGAAGUGAAGGGUUUGCCUGUCCAGUUAAAAAUAGCAAGAGCCUCUUGUAACUUGAGAUGAGCCCUAAAUACUUUUCUUCCCAGCUUUCUAGUUGCACUGUUAACCCAUGGGACUUUACAUGUCUCCCUUCUUCAGUAACACAGUAAUGAGGGACAGGGGUGACAAGAUGGUAGCACCAAAGGUUUCCUUCCACAAGCCAGUCACUGCUAACUGCCAGGAAAUAUCUGAUCUAAGGUUUUUUCCACUGUAAAAUUCUCCCCGAAAUAAAAAGAGAAGUAGCCUCUUCACRUACAGUGAAAAUUUAGAAGUGGAGCUGCAGGCUGCCAUGGAGACAGGGCUCUGUUUGCAAUCUUCUUGUCUUUUAUUGUCUCUUCUCCUCUCCCAAGCAGCUGAAAAGCAGCCAGGAGUUGCUGUGUGCGAGGUCCUGCCCUUUACACCUCCCGUCCCCAGCCGGCCGACGCUGCCCAGCCUGCCCAUCCUCCCGGCACCUCGAUCGAUGAAGCAACACUGGAAGUGCGAGGCGAGGCUGGGGAGAGGCGAUGAACCCCUGCAGCUCUCC
rnacentral:lncRNA from 1 species